AAAAAAAUCAAGGGCAUCGCUACAAACUUACUGCCGUCCCUAAAUAAAAGCGGUAGCGGCAAAUUACUGUCAAAAAUUCCUGAUCUCCAUAGAUUUUAUAUGGCGAUUUUGACAGCGCGCUUCGAAGUAAUUUUUGAAUUUAAGAGAGAACGAUGAAAAUAUUGGAAAACCAUUCAAAAACUCACCAAACAAAUUUUCGUCGUCGUCGAAUUUAAAUCGUUAUAUAGGUGAUAACAGUAAGCGGAAGCGAGAACAAAUUUGAGUAGGACUUCGGGACAUUAUCGACAUCGAUCAGAAGAACAUGAUAAAAUUUUGCUUCGAAAGUUCUAGUACUCGUUGAAAAUCAUGCACUAAUUCCGUGAACGUUGGCUGCAUUUAUGUACACAAUAUGGCGAGUGCCAUAAAUAGCGCCAUAAGGAUAAUGACCAAGUGUCAAAUGGGGAUUUAAAUCAAAGAAAUCUGCCACAACCCUAAAUUAGCCUUCCCGGUUCCAGCAGAUUUUAUGAAUUAUAGUUUUUUAAAUUAUGUAUAGUUCAGUUGUUUAAUACAUAAGAAAUUUUCUAAUAUUUGCAACAGAAAUAUAGUUAUUCGUAUAGUAUAUAACUAUACAAUAUUAAUAUUAAUUAAGAAUUUUUUUGUUUUGGCAGCAAACUUACUCUCGAAAUUCAGUGAAAUCUAAACAACUUUCACAAGCUCGCCGAACUAAUUUGCGUCAUAUUAAUAAGGAGCGAGAACAAUAAAAUUCGGGUGUGAAUAAGGAUUUCCUUGUUUUAAAAGUAAAACUAAUUGAGCGAAAUAAUACAGUUGUACUUUUAUUAUAAAUAUUUAAGAAAAUUAGAAAAUAUAACAUUAUUUUAAUAUUCUA